UCGAACUCAAUCUGAAGGUUGAAGGAGAAAACCAUCAAAGAGGAAUAAAUGGAGAAAAUCACCAGCACCCUCCAUUUCCUUCAGUUUCAUCCUCUUUGACUGUCACCACCUCCACCACCUUCUUCGUUUCUGUUUUUCUAUCCGUUUCUUCUAAAAUGUAACCCUACGGUUAAUGUUUUGAAUUGAUCGUCUAACCUGCAACCCUAGGUACCAAAUUGGAUUAACCUUUCUUCUCCAUUCAAAUCGCUAAAUUUAUUCGAUUUCGAAUUUAGAGUUCAUGGUUUUGAUUGAAUUAAUCCGACCUGUAAUCCUAAAUUCGAAAUGGAAUUUACAAUUGAAAUUUUGGAAUUACUUCAGAAAAUUCCAAAUUAGAUCACCACCACCCUCCUCCACCUCCUUCUACUGCAGAUGGAUCAACAUCGAAGCCAAAAACUUAUGGAGCUAGCCGAGAGUGAGCCAGACAAAAUAAAAAGUGAUUGCGGAAUGCUUCCUAUAAAGCGAAACAAGAGAAAAUGAUAGACGAUGAAAGACAAGCUUUGAAGAAAAGAUGUCUUAUUGCUUAUCGCAAACGAAUUGAAGCCAGCACAAGCUGUAAGCAUAUUAAUUUUAUAAUGCUCAUCCCAUAACUCAAGAUUUUAAGCUUAUUAUGUAGAUUUAUACCAUGUGCGUGCAAAUUACAAACAAUUAAUAUGCAUUAUGAAUCAAUAUGAUGUGUCAGUGUAUGAAA